GAGGUUGCAAAACCAGGUUAAGAGUUUGAAACAGAAGUGUGACACUCAAGAGGUAGAGCUACAGAAAUCACAAAUAAGAGCAGAGGAAGAAUCGUCCAAAUGUAUACAAGCGAUGGAAGUAACCAAGGCUACCGCUGCCCAGUUGAAGGCGAUGACAGAAACGUUACCUG